rnacentral:rRNA from 1 species
GAGCUGCUGUAUAGGUGGUGCAUGGUUGUCGUCAGCUCGUGCGUGAGAUGUUGGGUUAAGUCCCGCAACGAGCGCAACCCCUGUUGUUAGUUGCCAGCAUUAAGUUGGGCACACUAGCGAGACUGCCGGUGACAAAUCGGAGGAAGGUGGGGACGACGUCAAAUCAUCAUGCCCCUUAUGUCCUGGGCUACACACGUACUACAAUGGCUAUAACAGCAGGAAGCGAAGGCGUAAGCCGGAGCAAAUCCUCAAAAAUAGUCCCAGUUCAGAUUGUGGGCUGCAACCCGCCCACAUGAAGUCGGAAUUGCUAGUAAUGGCAGGUCAGCAUACUGCCGUGAAUACGUUCCCGGGCCUUGUACACACCGCCCGUCACACCAUGAGAGUCUGCAACACCCGAAGUCAGUAGUCUAACCGCAAGGAGGCGCUGCCGAGGGUGGGGCCGAUGAUUGGGGUGAAGCGUAACAAGGUAGCCGUAUCGAAGGUGCGGCUGGAUCACCUCCUU